rnacentral:piRNA from 1 species
UCACUUUGCGGGCAGGGUUGAGAA